rnacentral:lncRNA from 1 species
UGGAUAACCUCAACUGCCUCAGGGAAAAGAACUUUGGAUUUAAAUAUUCCUAAAAAGGACCUAAUCCCCAGGAGCCUCCCUUAAUCAAGGCAGCCUGUCUGAAGCUGAGUUGAUCCCUGAGGCUGGAAUUCAGCUGCUCUAAUUUUGGUAACUUGAGGAAGCCUGAGUAAGUCUGCCUGGGAUUUCCCCAUCCCUGCCUCCUGCAAAAAGCCUGUCCAGGAACCCAGGCCUGGGAAAAGACCACCUGGAAAACCUCCCCUGAGGAUAAGCUGGUCCUUGGCUUCAAGGUUGUUUCUGCUCUGUCCAAGUGAAGAAGUGCCUUGGGUGUGCUC